CGCCCAGGACAUGAAAGACUGCAGGACAGCUUCAGUGCCGCCAGAGCAGCGGGUGAGAAUGAAGCUGUAGGUUCCAGCCCAGUGUCUUCGAUAUCUGUAAGCAGUGAUGAAGGACUCUGCUCUUUAAAUCCCCACGCACGACAGACCGAUAGAUUGUACAAAGCACAAACAAUUUAGUGAAAACGAAGUGUGGCCUCUCGCUGCUAGGAAUACUACACGUGCUGCAACUACUGUUCAUUAUUCCCAAGCCUCGUCAGGUAAAUCCCACGCAGGUUUUCCAGUGCAAGAUGGGAUGCAGAUGAGCACCUACAUGCUGUGCAGAGACCAGCAUGCACGGGCAGGAAUGCAUCGUGACAUCUGUAACCGGGAAGGGCAGCCAGAUGGGUGCCCGGGUGAAGGGACUCUGCUCUUCUGACAUCAGCAGAACCACUUAAGGCUGUUCCCUGCCUCACGCAGACUAAAAAGCCAGGGAUUUACUAUAAUGGAAACCCAAAUCCUUUAUUCUAAGACAGCUCAGUUUGUUAAUCUGUCCUUGAAGAGUUACACCUUGAAACUUUUUCCUAAAAACCAGGCAUGACUGUAAAGGCCUCCUGGACCCACUACAGUUCUUGAGGUUCUCCCAGCCUUUGUGCUGAAUUGCUGGACUCGUGUUUGGACAAGAGGAAAGCACAACUCACAGAUCUGUGGUGUGGUUGGGCGUUCUGCAUGAGCACCCUUCCUGCUCCCACGUACUGAGGCUUACCUCAACAAAAUGCCUGAACAGGAGCCAUUCAGUUGCGGCAAUGAGUUCUACAAGACUGGCCAGAAUAACUGAUCAGAAGUUCUGUUCCUUUUAGCAACAUUCCUGUUAAAUGGAGGAGCCUAUAGACAUGGCCAUUUAAAAAAGCAACUUGCUUUCAAGAUUUCACACGUACAGGUAGCGGUGUCGGGGUGUGAAGACUGCUGUUGCUUGUAGUCUCAAUUAUUUAUGAUGUUUAUAUUUCGAAAUAGGUGAAAGAUGGGUCCGUUGCAAACGGGACAUGAAAACGACGAUGGUCACCCUUAAUUUAGAGGACUAGAAAACACUGGAACUCUUCAGCUAGGCGAGGUUUAACUGGCAAGUCAUCAGAGCAACCUAUCUAUACAUUCAACCCCCUGCAAGGUCCCUUUCAGUGCGGUUUGUUAUCACGACUGACACAUUUCCCCCAGUCUGCAGGCUCUGGGUCUGCCUGACACUAAGCCCAUCCAGCAGUCUCCCCCAGGGGUCCCCCAGGAGAAGAGGCACGUGCUCCACCUCUCCCAGCUCUCCCGCCCCGCUCACGAAAAACAGCAUCCCAGAGACAGCUCUGCUGCAAGGAAGCCCAGGCAGGACAGUCCGGAUCGCGAGCAGCCAGCGCCAGUGGAGUGGUUGAUGAGGUGUCGUGCAUUACUGGUGCGCUCAAGGGCCCUGUCUGGGUGGCAGACACGGCGGGCAGGAACCUCCCUCGCCAGGCCUCCGCGCUAGGAAUGUCACACGUCUGCUUUUUAUUUCGGCCAGUUACAUCUUUGUAUCUUUUUUUUUUCAUUUCAGGCAACAUGAAUCCCAAUCCAUUUUCAUUUUACAGCUAUCAGAUGUUGUUUUAUGCAAAUGCAUCUCGUCAAAGCGUUCUAUGUGUUUACAUCAACAGUGAUUAUAUUUAGGUUUAAACAUUCUUUUUUUGGAUUAAGAUCUCAAGUCUAUUAGCCAAGAGAAAAACACUACAGCUGCAUACAGUAUUCAAAGAGCGCAAAACCAGCAACAAAUGAAGGGGAAUAGUGAAUGCUUCAGGCAUAUUGCCUUAAAACUAAUGUGAAUAUAUAUUUUUUAGAAGUGAUAAGAGUCAUAUAAUUAUGACAGCAAAAAUGUAUUUUAUUCUGUACAUUUUGCUAAACUUUUAUGAAAGAUCAGUUCAGUAUAUUAA